CAGGUCUUGACAUCCUUUGACCACUCUAGAGAUAGAGCUUUCCCUUCGGGGACAAAGUGACAGGUGGUGCAUGGUUGUCGUCAGCUCGUGUCGUGAGAUGUUGGGUUAAGUCCCGCAACGAGCGCAACCCUUAUUACUAGUUGCCAGCAUUUAGUUGGGCACUCUAGUGAGACUGCCGGUGACAAACCGGAGGAAGGUGGGGAUGACGUCAAAUCAUCAUGCCCCUUAUGACCUGGGCUACACACGUGCUACAAUGGAUGGUACAACGAGUCGCAAGGUCGCGAGGCCAAGCUAAUCUCUUAAAGCCAUUCUCAGUUCGGAUUGUAGGCUGCAACUCGCCUACAUGAAGCCGGAAUCGCUAGUAAUCGCGGAUCAGAACGCCGCGGUGAAUACGUUCCCGGGUCUUGUACACACCG
rnacentral:rRNA from 1 species